rnacentral:rRNA from 1 species
CCUACGGGCGGCUGCAGUGGGGAAUAUUGCACAAUGGGGGAAACCCUGAUGCAGCGACGCCGCGUGAGUGAAGAAGUAUUUCGGUAUGUAAAGCUCUAUCAGCAGGGAAGAAGAAAGACGGUACCUGACUAAGAAGCCCCGGCUAACUACGUGCCAGCAGCCGCGGUAAUACGUAGGGGGCAAGCGUUAUCCGGAUUUACUGGGUGUAAAGGGAGCGUAGACGGCUGUGCAAGUCUGAAGGUAAAGCCCAGGGCUCAACCCUGGGACUGCUUUGGAACCUGUGGAGCUAGAGUGCUGGGAGGGGAAGUGGGAUUCCCAGUGGAGCGGUGAAAUGCGGAGAUAUUAGGAGGAACACCCGGGGCGAAGGCGGCUUUCCGGACAGUAACCGACGUUGAGGCUCGAAAGCGUGGGGAGCAAACAGGAUUAGAUACCCUAGUAGUC